ACUACAAAUGUCCUGUGUCUCUUUGACCGUCUCUUGUUUCGAUCUUUGAGUACUCUUUACUUUUCAUUUUUCCUUCUAAUCUGUCUGAUACCAAAUCUUUCCUUCUACUUGAGAAUGGAAGAAACUGCUGGGAAUUCUUUUAUAGAAGUUGGAAAGUGCUUAAGUGCUCCGAUCGGGCGUCAGUUUAUGUACUUGUACAAUUACAAAAGCAACUUUGACAAUCUUGAAAAAGAAGCUGGAAGGCUGAAGGAUGCAAGAGAUGAGGUAAAGGCUAAGGUUGUUGCUGCUGAAAAUAAUGUGGAAAUGAUCAAACAGAUUGUUAAGGACUGGCAGGGGAUGUGGAUUCCAUGAUCGAAGAAACGGACAAGUUGAUUCAAGAGAAAUCAAACAGCAGUUGUUUCAACUUGAUCUCUUGCUACAAAAAUAGCAGGAAAGCAUGGAAAAAGAUGAACGCUUAACUGAACUGCUUCAGGAAAAAGAAACAUUUGCUGAAGUUUCUCUUCCUAUCACUCAUGAAGACAUUCGGCUCGCUAACAAAGAUUAUGGGGAAUUUGAAUCAAGAAAGUCAAUUUUCAAUGAUGUGGUGAAGGCAUUAGACGAUCCUGAGGUGGGAAUUAUUGGGGUUUAUGGGAUGGGUGGAAUUGGUAAAACCACACUGGGCAAAGAAGUUGGUCAUCAAGCCAAGAAAAAACAGCUCUUGGAUGAGGUGGUUUUCGUAGAGGUAUCUGAUAAUCCAGAUACUAAAAAGAUUCAAGAUGAACUCGCGAAUCAGUUAGGUGUUAAAUUUGAUACAGAGGCUGAACGAGUGAGCAAGUUGUAUGCGAGACUGAAGAAUGAUAAAAAAGUGCUUGUAAUUUUAGAUAAUAUAUGGGUACAAUUAGAUUUGCAGGCUCUUGGUAUUCCUUGUGGAGAUGACCGUGGGGGAUGUAAAUUAUUGCUGACAGCAAGAGAUCUUCAUGUAUUAUGGAGUAUGGAUUCUAAGAAUAAUUUCUUGAUGGGGGUCCUAGAGAAAGAAGAAGCUUGGAGCUUGUUUAAGAAGAUGGCAGGUGAUGUUGUUGAACAAACAAAUAAGCUGAAUUCUCUGCCGAAUGAUGUAUGUAACGAAUGUUGGGGUGUGCCAAUUGUCAUUACUACCGUAGCAAGAGCAUUAAGAAACAGGAGACAUCAAUUUCAAUGGAAAGAUGCCCUGCGAGAACUAAGAAUUCCUUCUCCAACAAAGUUCGCAGGCUUGCUAGAAAAAGAAUAUCUAAAGAUAUCAUUGAGUUACAAUUAUCUAGAACGUGACGAGCUCAAGAAAACUUUGUUAAUUUGUAGCCUAAUGGUAAAUAAUGCUACCAUUUCAGACUUGUUCAAACUCAUUAUGGGUUUAAAUAUACUGGAAGGAGCUAACCUUUCUAUGGAACAAGCACGGAAUAAGCUAGAAAGUCUUGUCUGUGAACUCAAGGAUUCUUGUUUGUUGCUUGAUGGUUCAACCAGUGAAUGGUUUUCCAUGCAUGAUGUUAUUCGUUCAGUUGCCAUAACAAUUGCAUAUAAAGAUCAUCACAUAUUUACGGAGCGUAAUGACAUGGUGACGGAAUGGUCAAAUACAGAGCAAUUGAAAAAAUGCACUAAAAUCUCACUAGCUGAUUGUAAUAUGAUUGGUGAGAUUUGGUCUCAAGGUUUGGAUUGUCCAAAACUUGAAUUUUUUAGUAUGAGGAUGAAGGGUUUUUUUAAAAUCCCUGAAGAUAUUUUUGUGGGGAUGGGAAACCUUAAGGUUCUAAGUUUAUUUGACCUGAACGUAUUGUCCUUGCCAACAUCUCUUGCUCUUCUCAUAAAUCUUCAAACAUUAUGUUUGAAUUAUGGCACAUUUUCAGAUAUAGCAAUCCUUGGAGAGUUGAGAAAUCUAAAGAUUCUUAGCUUGCGGUGUUGUCAGAUUAUACAGUUGGCGGGAGAAAUUGGUAAAUUGACUCAAUUAAGGUUAUUGGAUUUAAGUUAUUGUUGGAAACUAGAGGUUAUAGCACCAAAUGUUAUAUCAAGCUUAUUCCAAUUGGAAGAAUUGUAUAUGAGCGAAUGCUCUAUUUUGUGGAAGGUGGAAAUGCUUGAGGAGUUACAGCAUUUGUCUCGAUUGACAACUUUAGAAAUAGAUAUUUUAGAUGAUCAAAUUUUGCCAAAAGACUUCUUCUCCAAAAAGUUGGAAAGGUACAAUAUAUCAAUUGGAAAUAGCGCUACUUAUUUUGGUGGGUCCUACAUAUUUGAUGAUCAUGGGAAGUCCAUGGAGGUUGAAAGGUGUUCAUUAAAUAAGGCUGCUGCUUUAAGAACGCUGAAACUGAAUCUUAGUUCUUUUAUCUGGCAAGAGGAAUUGCAGUUCUUAUUGAAUGUUGAAUUCUUAUGCUUAGACAAAUUGCAGGGUAUCAAGAAUGAUCUCUCUGAAUUAGACAAGAAAGGUUUUUCUCAAUUAAAAUAUCUCUAUGUCCAUAAUAAUCCUAACAUCUUGUGCAUUGUUGACUCAACAAAGUGCAUACCUCAUGAUGUCUUUCCACUCUUGGAAUCUCUGAUUUUUUUCAACUUGAUUAACUUGGAAAAGAUAUGUUAUGGUCAACCCUCAACAAAGUCUUUCUACAACUUAAAAUUUAUAAAAGUGAAAAGCUGUGAUAAGUUGGAAAAUAUUUUCUCAUUCUCUAAUGCUAGCAGAAGCCUUCCACAACUUCAAAAAAUUAGGGUGGAAGAUUGCGAGAAUUUGACUGAGAUUAUUGCCGUUGCAAGUAAAAAUAGAGCAAACAAGAAUGAAGAAAUUGAUAAGUUUGAAUUUUGUCAAUUAUGCUUCUUGACUUUGAUUGAUCUUCCAAGGAUUGCGAGCUUCUACUCAAAUGCAAAUACAUUUUCAGCAUCACAGAAAGAAUUGACAAAUAAUUUGGAGUCCAAUGAUAUCAAUUCCGAAGAUGAGCAAAUUGAUAUUGUCAUGCCAUUUUUUCACAAAAAGGUUGUUUUCCCUAGUUUGGAAGCCUUAAACUUUGGAGCAAUUUAUUCUGAGAAAAUUUGGGACAACAAACUUCCAACAACCUCUUGUUGCUAUCAGAAUUUGAAAAGAUUGAUUGUGGAUGGCUGUCAAAAACUAAAAUUUGUAUUUCUAUCAUCUAUAAUCAAAAGCUUUGAGCAGCUUCAACACCUUGAGAUAAGAUAUUGUAAAGAAUUAAAGGAGAUUGUUGCCAAAGAAGAAACAAAGGGUACUACUACAUUUAUCUUUCCAAGGGUAACCUUUUUGAGACUCGAAGAAUUGCCAGAGCUUACAACUUUCUACCAUAGUAAUCACAUUUCAAAUUGGCCCAUGUUAAAGGAGUUGGAGGUGUGUAAUUGUGGUAGACUAGACAUAUCUACUUCCGAAUAUAAGGUUGUUGUCCCCAAUUUGGAGGUUUUAAAACUGCGUUUGGUUAAUUGUGAAAUACUCUGGGAUAGUCAACUUGUGGCAAUUUCUUCUUGCUAUCGAAACUUGACACGCUUGAUUGUAAACAGCUGUGAAAAACUAAAAUAUGUCUUUCCAUCUUCCAUGGUGAAAAGCUUUGAGCAGCUUGAACAUAUUGAGAUAUGCAAUUGUAGUGUGUUGAAGGAGAUUAUUGCAAAAGGAGUAGAAGCAAACAAGACAUUUGUAUUUCCACGAGUAACCUUCCUAAAACUGAAAAAUUUGCUAGAACUUGCAACUUUCUAUACUGGACUAUACACUUCUGAAUGGCCGGUGUUAAAGAAGUUGGAGAUGCGUAAUUGUGACAAAAUAAAAAUAUUCACUUCAGAAUAUAUGAGCCUCCAUCAUAAUAAGCAGGGCCAACAUGAUAUUUGGGAGAAACAGUCCCUUUUCUUUGUGGAAAAGAUUAACCUCAAUUUGGAGAAAUUAACCCUAAGCAGAGUGGAUGACAUGAUAACAUUGCUGCAUCAGUUUCCAGAAAACUUUGGUAGAUGUACAAUUGAGAUCAAACAAGAUAGAUCUACCAAUAUUUCAGUUGGCAUCCUUCAGAGAUCGGUUAAGCUGGAAAACCUCAUACUGAGUGACUGUUCAUAUGAAGAGAUAUUUACAUGCGGAGAGGAUGAGAAACAUACAAAAAUCUUGAUAGACAUAAAAAGUUUGGAGUUGAGUAAUCUUUCUGAUGCAAAGUACCUUUGGGGAAAAGGCUCCAAACUAGACUCUCUUCUUCAAAAUCUUGAGGUUCUAGAAGUAGAUAAUUGUGAUAGAAUGAUAAAUGUUCUGCCAUCCUCAGCAUCUUUUGAGAAUCUAACAGUUUUGAAUGUACAUUCGUGUUAUGGAUUGAUGAACUUACUCACACCUGCAAUGGCAAAAAAUUUGGUGCAGUUGAGAGAAAUGAAAAUUGAAAGUUGCAGAUUAAUAACAGAAAUAGUAUCAAAUAAGACAGAUGAAGUAGCAGAAGAUGAAAUUGUUUUUGUCCAACUGAAGUUGUUGUCACUUAAAUACUUAAAAAGCCUCAUAUGCUUCUGCUCUGGGAAUUAUACAUUGAAAUUCCCAUCUUUGGAAGAAUUAACUGUGCCUGGUUGUCCUAAGAUGAAGACUUUCUCUGUAGGAAACUUAAACACACCAAGUUUACAGAAAAUUCAACAAAAUAGGUGGGAGAAAGACGAAUGGAUUUGGGAGGGUGACCUAAAUGCAACUAUACAACGACUACAUGAAAAAGAGAAUAAUCAGAGUUCUGGAAAGGAUACUGAGCAAACUUCAAUGAAAUCUCCAGAAUAAGGCUCUUUUGUUUGUGGUUUGUGAAGCAUUAUUGUGGCUCAAGUUCCCUGUGUUGAGCUUAUCAUUUCUCGGCAUCCUAUCAAAAUGGGAAGUUUGUGCCUGCAUGCUGCAAGUUUCCUUGCAUUGAUUUAUUGGAACUUGCAAAGUCAUUUCUGUCCAAGCUGAAAGACUGCAAGUUCCUGUCCUUCCUAGUUAAUGUCAAAAAGGAGAAAUAAAUAUAACGGCAGUUAUAUCUGGAAGACCAUCUUUGGGAAAAGUCUCUUGAGCUAUAAUGGCAAAACUGGAGCUCUUUUAUGAAAGGAAUUUCUUUGGAUUGGAAAGGAAGUCAAUUAAAAUUCUUGAUGGGCAAGCUAAGUCUGGAGACCACUAUUCACACCAUUUGGAAGGAAAGAAACAACAGGAUUUUCACUUACCUUUAGCUGCCCAAAGAUAGAAUUGUGGAUAUGAUAAGACUGGUAAGAGACACAGGGGCUGACCUCUCAAACUUGUCGCCUUCUAAUGCCAAUAAAGCCAUUGCUUGCAAUUGGGGCCUGUUGAACUGCAUCUUCAAAUGCUAAGGCUUCACCUCUUUGGACGUGGCUGCCUUUUUUUGCUAAUUAUGUAUUUUUUUGCAUGUUCAAUUUCUAAUCUUUGGUCAGUUCCACCUUGGAAGUUUCAGUGCGGGUUGCAUUGGGUGUAUUGGCGUUUUUGGAUGCAUUGCUGCUAUUGAAAUUGUAAUUUCUGCUGCCAGUUUCUGUAGAUGGAUUUUUUCCAGAAAUAGUUGGAUGCUUUUCUCUUAAAGCCUGUGGGUGGUUGAUUCUUCUCUCCCGAUUGGGUGUGUCAUUUCCAGUCACACUCUAGGAGCUGUUCUGCAGUGUUAAUUCAUGGGUGGUUUUUUUGUGUAGAGGGUCCAGCAAGUUGUUUUUUAACUGAAAUGGCUGCACAAGUGUCCGUUUCUGUGGUAUUGCACCUGGUGGUUGGGUUGCUGCUUUUCUAUUUAAGGCGUGUACCGUCGGCUGCUUGAUACUGAUGGUUGGGCAAUGUUUGCUGUCUUUGGCGUCCUGCCAUGGCUGGUUGAGCUGGUGUCAUACUUUUUUUCAAGUUCAGAUUGUUAUCUCUAGUAUGUUCUCUAUUAUUUAGGCAGUUUUUGUUUAUGGUUUGUAAUUGUGAGAUGUUAGCCUGUGGGCUUGUGCCGACUUGAACUUAGAGUGUUUUUUUUUUUUUUUGUCAAUUGCUACCCUUUUGGGAUGAGUUUAGAUAGUAUUUGUGCCCUUUUCUUUUGGCCUUUUUUAACGUAUAUAUUUACUUAGAAAAAAGGGGUUUCUUUAAUGCAUAUAUUUACUUAAAAAAAAAAAGUUUAAAUGAUUUUAGGAAUGGACAGUAGAUAUAAUUAUCAAAAAGACUUAACAUAUUUCUUCUUGUGUUUUAGUUGAGAUUUUAUGAAGAUUUUUUCUUUCAACUGUUGUAUUAGCUGAUUAUAAAUUAUAAUCUAAGUUUCUUCUUGUAAAUGCUGCCGGAUUUCUUAAAUUUCUUUUCUAUUCAUGUGUAUGUACAAGAGCCAUUUCCAAAAUCUCGUGCCUUGAAUCUAUAGCCAAAUAUUUUGCUAA